UUGGAGGGCAAGUCUGGUGCCAGCAGCCGCGGUAAUUCCAGCUCCAAUAGCGUAUAUUAAAGUUGUUGCAGUUAAAAAGCUCGUAGUUGAAUUUCGGGAUCAGAGUGUCGGUCGUGCCUCGGUACGCACUGGUAUUAUUGGUUCCUACCUUCUGAAGAACCGCGAUGUCAUUAAUUUGGUGUCGUGGGGAAUCAGGACUGUUACUUUGAAAAAAUUAGAGUGUUUAAAGCAGGCUUACGCUUGAAUACAUUAGCAUGGAAUAAUGAAAUAGGACGUUUGAUUCUAUUUUGUUGGUUUCUAGGAUUGACGUAAUGAUUAAUAGGGAUAGUUGGGGGCAUUAGUAUUCAAUUGUCAGAGGUGAAAUUCUUGGAUUUAUUGAAGACUAACUACUGCGAAAGCAUUUGCCAAGGAUGUUUUCAUUAAUCAAGAACGAAAGUUAGGGGAUCGAAGACAAUCAGAUACCGUCGUAGUCUUAACCAUAAACUAUGCCGACUAGGGAUCGGAUGAUGUUAAUUUUUUAAUUACUCAUUCGGCGCCUUACGGGAAACCAAAGUGUUUGGGUUC
rnacentral:rRNA from 1 species